UGGGGAAUCUUGCGCAAUGCGCGAAAGCGUGACGCAGCAACGCCGCGUGGAGGAAGACGGCCUUCGGGUUGUAAACUCCUUUCAGUUGGGACGAAGCUUCACCGGUUAAUAGCCGGUUGGAGUGACGGUACCUUUAGAAGAAGCCCCGGCUAACUACGUGCCAGCAGCCGCGGUAAUACGUAGGGGGCAAGCGUUGUCCGGAAUCAUUGGGCGUAAAGCGCGUGUAGGCGGCUCUGUAAGUCCGUUCUGAAAGUCCGGGGCUCAACCCCGGGAGGCGGAUGGAUACUGCAGGGCUCGAGUACGGAAGAGGCGAGUGGAAUUCCCGGUGUAGCGGUGAAAUGCGCAGAUAUCGGGAGGAACACCAAUGGCGAAGGCAGCUCGCUGGGACGUUACUGACGCUGAGACGCGAAAGCGUGGGGAGCAAACAG
rnacentral:rRNA from 1 species